rnacentral:rRNA from 1 species
GAUGAACGCUAGCGGGAGGCCUAACACAUGCAAGCCGAGCGGGAUUUGUUGGUUAGCUUGCUAACUAACAAUGAGAGCGGCGUACGGGUGCGUAGCACGUGUGCAACCUGCCUUUAUCUGGGGGAUAGCCUUUCGAAAGGAAGAUUAAUACCCCAUAACAUAUUGAUUGGCAUCAGUUAAUAUUGAAAGCUCCGGCGGAUAGAGAUGGGCACGCGUAAGAUUAGCUAGUUGGUGAGGUAACGGCUCACCAAGGCUGCGAUCUUUAGGGGGCCUGAGAGGGUGAUCCCCCACACUGGUACUGAGACACGGACCAGACUCCUACGGGAGGCAGCAGUGAGGAAUAUUGGACAAUGGGUGAGAGCCUGAUCCAGCCAUCCCGCGUGAAGGACUAAGGACCUAUGGUUUGUAAACUUCUUUUAGACAGGGAUAAACCUACUCUCGUGAGGGUAGCUGAAGGUACUGUAUGAAUAAGCACCGGCUAACUCCGUG